GAGAGGAGGGAGGGAGGAGGAGAGAGAGGGGGAGGGAGAGGCCACAAGGAGGGUUAGCCUGUUAGUGUUUGAUGAGAGAACGGAGAGAGGCAAGAGGAAAGAUGGAUUGGGUUGUAUUGGAAGGUAGCAAGAAGAGUCAAGAUGGGUUUGGCUGGUGGGAAGAAGAAUGAAGGAGAGAGGACGAAGGAGGAUUUGGUUGAAGCUUGAAGUGGAGAGGUGGGAGGAAGAAAGAGAAAAGGGCACAAACACUAGCAUGCAGUGACCAGGACUGUGAAUCUUUCAGAUAUCUAAUGAUAUUAUCAAAUAUCAUGAGAUGUCGGCAUGGAAAAAUUACGAGAACAAAGAGAGGCAAGAGGAAAGAUGGCUUGGGUUGUAUUGAAAGGUGGCAGGCUGAGUCAGGGUAGGUUUGGCUGGUGGGGAAAGGAAUGAAGGAGAGAGGAAGAAGGAUUUGGUUGAAGCUUGAAGUGGAGAGGUGGGAAGAAGAAAGAGAAAGGGGCACGAGCGCCAGCACCCAGUGACCAGAUCCGUGAAUCUUUCGAAUAACUCAUGAUAUUAUAAAAUAGGAUUUUUUGCAUAUAUACCCUCCAACAUAUACAAAAUUAUAUGAAUACCCUCAUAAAAUUGCUAUUUCCAUGUAUACUCUUCUUUAUAUAUAUAUAUAUAU
rnacentral:lncRNA from 1 species